CAGUUCUAUAAAAGAAGCUCUCUGUUCUGCCAUAUUGCUCUCUGUCUCCUUUGAUCGGAGACAGCCAGGUGGAUUGUCCCUACAACAAAGAUGAUACAUUAAAGCCCAUUGCGAUGGUUACUCUUGACUGUCAAAUUGCUUGGCUUGAGAGAUGCCUUAGAGAAUAGUAAAGCACACUUCUGUUCUAGAGGCUGGGAAGUCUAAGACAGAGGGUCCAGCAUCUGGCAAGAAGAGACUUCUUGCUGCCUCACAGCAUGAUAGAAAAGCAAGAGAGAGAAUCCACUCCCGAA